rnacentral:rRNA from 1 species
AGAAGAACGGGUGUCAGAGUAACUGUUGACAUCGUGACGGUAUCCAACCAGAAAGCCACGGCUAACUACGUGCCAGCAGCCGCGGUAAUACGUAGGUGGCAAGCGUUGUCCGGAUUUAUUGGGCGUAAAGCGAGCGCAGGCGGUUUUUUAGGUCUGAUGUGAAAGCCUUCGGCUUAACCGGAGAAGUGCAUCGGAAACCGGGAAACUUGAGUGCAGAAGAGGACAGUGGAACUCCAUGUGUAGCGGUGAAAUGCGUAGAUAUAUGGAAGAACACCAGUGGCGAAGGCGGCUGUCUGGUCUGCAACUGACGCUGAGGCUCGAAAGCAUGGGUAGCGAACAGGAUUAGAUACCCUGGUAGUCCAUGCCGUAAACGAUGAGUGCUAAGUGUUGGAGGGUUUCCGCCCUUCAGUGCUGCAGCUAACGCAUUAAGCACUCCGCCUGGGGAGUACGACCGCAAGGUUGAAACUCAAAGGAAUUGACGGGGGCCCGCACAAGCGGUGGAGCAUGUGGUUUAAUUCGAUGCUACGCGAAGAACCUUACCAGGUCUUGACAUCUUCUGCUAACCUAAGAGAUUAGGCGUUCCCUUCGGGGACGGAAUGACAGGUGGUGCAUGGUUGUCGUCAGCUCGUGUCGUGAGAUGUUGGGUUAAGUCCCGCAACGAGCGCAACCCUUAUUGUCAGUUGCCAGCAUUCAGUUGGGCACUCUGGCGAGACUGCCGGUGACAAACCGGAGGAAGGUGGGGAUGACGUCAAAUCAUCAUGCCCCUUAUGACCUGGGCUACACACGUGCUACAAUGGACGGUACAACGAGUCGCGAAACCGCGAGGUCAAGCUAAUCUCUGAAAGCCGUUCUCAGUUCGGAUUGCAGGCUGCAACUCGCCUGCAUGAAGUUGGAAUCGCUAGUAAUCGUGGAUCAGCAUGCCACGGUGAAUACGUUCCCGGGCCUUGUACACACCGCCCGUCACACCAUGAGAGUUUGUAACACCCAAAGCCGGUGAGGUAACCUUCGGGGGCCAGCCGUCUAAGGUGGGACAGAUGAUUAGGGUGAAGUCGUAACAAGGUAGCCGUAGGAGAACCUGCGGCUGGAUCACCUCCUUUCUAA